rnacentral:misc_RNA from 1 species
GUAGAUAGGCAAGGCACCACGACCAUAAUAUUCGACUCCGGGAGAGCACGGGUAAGUUAAUUUGAAGUAGUCAUCACAGUAAUCUUGGCUAGGACUCAAUUCCUUGUUAUAGCAAAGGCCCCAAGCCAAUGGUCCACCGGUGGCAACUCCGUAACCACAAGAAGUUUUGCUACCAACAUGACCAAGAAAAGCAGCAAUUUCUUUCAUCUGCAUAAAUUUACCACCAGUAGUACCAAAACCAAGAGGUUGAAAAAGAGCUGAAGCAAUUAUAAAAGAUUUAUAAUCCCAAAAACCAGCAGAAUGAGCUACAGGUGAAUUCCUCUUUGAAAACAAAUUCUCAAACUGAUAAGUUUCAAAAAAAUCAGAAAUUGUCAAAUUACAACAAAAUCUUGACAAUACAUUACAUUCCCAAUCUUUAACACACAUUUUUUUACCCUUUACCAUUUUCACUAAUAUUGGUGGCUUAGAUGAUGAUUCAUUUUCAUUUUCAUUUUCAUCCCCUUUUGCAAUUGCAGAAAUUGAAAGCAUUAUUACCAUAAAUCCUAACACUUUCAUCUUUAAAGCUGACAUUUUUAUCACUCAAAAUGAAAAUUUUGAAAUUUGAAAACUGAAAAAAUUGAGAAUUUAGUGAAUUGGGAAGAUGAAUUUGUGGUUUUUGAGAUUUGGGUAUGGAUCAAAAUUGGAUUUUUUGCUCUUUUUAUAUAUUUUCU